AAGUCGUAACAAGGUCUCCGUAGGUGAACCUGCGGAGGGAUCAUUACAGAGUUCAUGCCCUUCGGGUAGAUCUCCCACCCUGUGUUAUAUACUUUUUGCUUUGGCGGGCCUUGGGCUCACCUCGACUACCCGGCUUCGGCUGGUAAGCGCCCCGCCAGAGGACCCAAAACCCUGAAUAUUAAGUGUCGUCUGAGUACUUAUAUAAUAGUUAAAA
rnacentral:misc_RNA from 1 species